CUUCCCAGUAUGAAAGCUGCAUGAUCCAUAGUCAUCAAGAUUUCAAAGGAUUUGACCAGCAAGAAUGACAUUAUCCUAAAGGGGUAACUGCUCAGCUUGCGUCUUCAUCUCUCCUUCCGACUUCCCGAUGGGUAACCGACAUCUGAACCAUCCAUGUUUCCCCUGCAGAAUUACCUCGUCGGUCUAGAAGGUGACGUGGAUCAGUAAGCUGGUGGCAAUUUUGGCCACCGC
rnacentral:lncRNA from 1 species